rnacentral:lncRNA from 1 species
UGAGCCCCCGCCCCGCCAGGAGAAUGUUCGAUGCGGGCAGAAAUGGCCGUGUGUUGGGCACCCCGACCGGUUUUACUCAUACCCUCCCCACCCAUGGGCCCGGCUCAGCUACCCCUCUAGGCUCUGGCUCGAGUCCCAAGUGUGAGUACGUCACACCCGGCACCACCCCGGCUACUAGCGGUUCAAGAGCGGUCCUAUACCUCAAGUCCAAGCAGUGGCCCAAGUAGUGAGCUCCGGUCCACAAUUUAAUCGUCGCCGCAGCGAUUCGAACUUGGGACCUUAAGGUUAGAAUUUCUGCCCAGUA